GGGGAAUCUUGCGCAAUGGGCGAAAGCCUGACGCAGCAACGCCGCGUGGACGACGAAGGCCUUCGGGUUGUAAAGUCCUGUCGGAGGGGAAGAAUGGUAAGAUGGCUAACAUCCAUUUUAUUUGACGGUACCCUCAAAGGAAGCACUGGCUAACCUCGUGCCAGCAGCCGCGGUAAUACGAGGAGUGCAAGCGUUGUUCGGAAUUACUGGGCGUAAAGCGGGUGUAGGCGGUCUGUUAUGUCAGGUGUGAAAGCCCAUGGUUCAACUGUGGAACUGCGCUUGAAACUGACAGACUUGAGUAGCGUAGAGGAGGGCGGAAUUCCUAGUGUAGAGGUGAAAUUCGUAGAUAUUAGGAGGAACACCGGCGGCGAAGGCGGCUCUCUAAACGCAUACUGACGCUAAGACCCGAAAGCGUGGGGAUCAAAC
rnacentral:rRNA from 1 species